rnacentral:rRNA from 1 species
UACGGGGGGGGCAAGGGUUGUUCGGAAUUACGGGGCGUAAAGGGCUCGUAGGUGGCAAACUAAGUCAGACGUGAAAUCCCUCGGCUUAACCGGGGAACUGCGUCUGAUACUGGAUGGCUUGAGUUCGGGAGAGGGAUGCGGAAUUCCAGGUGUAGCGGUGAAAUGCGUAGAUAUCUGGAGGAACACCGGUGGCGAAGGCGGCAUCCUGGACCGACACUGACGCUGAGGAGCGAAAGCCAGGGGAGCAAACGGG